rnacentral:rRNA from 1 species
UCUGGUUGAUCCUGCCAGUAGCAUAUGCUUGUCUCAAAGAUUAAGCCAUGCAUGUCUAAGUAUAAAUAGCAUACAGUGAAACUGCGAAUGGCUCAUUAAAACAGUUAUAGUUUAUUUGAUAAUGGAAGCCUACAUGGAUAACCGUAGUAUUUCUAGAGCUAAUACAUGCGUCAAGACCUGACUGAAUUGAAAGGUUGUAUUUAUUAGAUACGAAGCCAAUAUUCCUUCGGGAUUAUUGUGGUGAGUCAUAGUAACUGAUCGAAUCUCCCAAUAUGGAGAUAAAUCAUUCAAGUUUCUGCUCUAUCAGCUUUCGAUGGUAGUGUAUUGGACUACCAUGGCAGUCACGGGUAACGGAGAAUUAGGGUUCGAUUCCGGAGAGGGAGCCUGAGAAACGGCUACCACAUCUAAGGAAGGCAGCAGGCGCGUAAAUUACCCAAUCCUGAUUCAGGGAGGUAGUGACAAGAAAUAACAACCCGGGGGAUUCACGUCCUUACGGGAUUGCAAUGAGAACAAUUUAAAUCACUUAACGAGGAUCAAUUGGAGGGCAAGUCUGGUGCCAGCAGCCGCGGUAAUUCCAGCUCCAAUAGUGUAUAUUAAAGUUGUUGCAGUUAAAAAGCUCGUAGUUGAACUUCUGGCAGUGUGCAGUUAUGGUUCUUAUCAGGCUGCAUUGCUGCCAUCCGUCUGCAAACCCUAUGCAACCUUUAGUGGCUUGGUGGGGGGAGUAGACAUUUUACUUUGAAAAAAUUAGAGUGUUUCAAGCAGGUUAUCGCCAGAAUACUUUAGCAUGGAAUAAUGGAACAGGACUCUUGUCCAUUUGGUUGGUUAUUGGACCAGAGUAAUGAUUAACAGGGACAGUUGGGGGCAUUAGUAUUUAAUUGUCAGAGGUGAAAUUCAUGGAUUUAUUAAAGACUAACUUAUGCGAAAGCAUUUGCCAAGGAUGUUUUCAUUAAUCAAGAACGAAAGUUAGGGGAUCAAAGACGAUCAGAUACCGUCCUAGUCUUAACUAUAAACGAUGUCGACUCGGGAUUGGAAAGGUAUCUUUAUCCUUUCCAGCACCUUAUGAGGAAUCAUUAAGUCUUUGGAUUCUGGGGGGAGUAUGGUCGCAAGGCUGAAACUUAAAGGAAUUGACGGAAGAGCACCACCAGGCGUGGGACCUGCGGCUUAAUUUGACCCAACACGGGAAAACUUAUUUCAGCAAAACAUGAGUGGGAUUGACAGAUUGAGAGCUCUUUCUUGAUUUUAUGGGGUGUGGUGCAUGGCCGUUCUUAGUUGGUGGAGUGAUUUGUCUGGUUAAUUCCGUUAACGAACGAGACCUUAACCUGCUAACUAGUCAGGGUGUUAAACUACGCUACUG